rnacentral:rRNA from 1 species
UGGAAAUUUAAAAAAAAACUUUUUUAAAAAUAAAAAUUGAAUUUUUUUUAAUUUGUGCAAAAACAAUUAUUAUUAUUAAAGACAAGAAGACCCUAAGAAUUUAUGAUUUUGUAAUUAAAAGUUUUUUUUUAAAAAUCUUGAUUGGGGCGAUCAAAAAAUAUUAAUAACUUUUUAAAUUUAAAUUGAUCUAUUAUUAAUAAACUAAUGAAUUAAAUACUCUAGGGAUAACAGCGUAAUAAUUUUUGAUAGAUCUUAUUGACAAAAUAGUUUGCGACCUCGAUGUUGGAUUAGGAUUCUUUUUUAAUGAAGAAGUUAAAAAAAGAAGUUUGUUCAACUUUUAAAUUCCUACUUGAUCUGAGUUCAGACCGG